GAUGAACGCUGGCGGCGUGCCUAAUACAUGCAAGUCGAGCGAACGGACGAGAAGCUUGCUUCUCUGAUGUUAGCGGCGGACGGGUGAGUAACACGUGGAUAACCUACCUAUAAGACUGGGAUAACUUCGGGAAACCGGAGCUAAUACCGGAUAAUAUUUUGAACCGCAUGGUUCAAAAGUAAAAGACGGUCUUGCUGUCACUUAUAGAUGGAUCCGCGCUGCAUUAGCUAGUUGGUAAGGUAACGGCUUACCAAGGCAACGAUGCAUAGCCGACCUGAGAGGGUGAUCGGCCACACUGGAACUGAGACACGGUCCAGACUACUACGGGAGGCAGCAGUAGGGAAUCUUCCGCAAUGGGCGAAAGCCUGACGGAGCAACGCCGCGUGAGUGAUGAAGGUCUUCGGAUCGUAAAACUCUGUUAUUAGGGAAGAACAUAUGUGUAAGUAACUGUGCACAUCUUGACGGUACCUAAUCAGAAAGCCACGGCUAACUACGUA
rnacentral:rRNA from 1 species